rnacentral:rRNA from 1 species
UUCAUGGAGAGUUUGAUCCUGGCUCAGGACGAACGCUGGCGGCGUGCCUAAUACAUGCAAGUCGAGCGGACAGAUGGGAGCUUGCUCCCUGAUGUUAGCGGCGGACGGGUGAGUAACACGUGGGUAACCUGCCUGUAAGACUGGGAUAACUCCGGGAAACCGGGGCUAAUACCGGAUGCUUGAUUGAACCGCAUGGUUCAAUUAUAAAAGGUGGCUUU